rnacentral:lncRNA from 1 species
UGUAAAUAUUUUUUUUGUGCUUAAGUUUGGAUUUUUCUGCGUUUAUGUUAAAUAUUUGACAUCCAGAGAGUGUGCGAUGAAGUUGACUUGUCAUUCCACUAGCGGAUGAAUGCCUAUACAGAAUCGGUGCUACUACGGCUUACGUCUGGAAUUACAACAUUUAUUUGAAACCCAACACCACUGCUGGAGCCAUGCAAGUCACCCAUAAUGGAAAAGAUCAUCAGAUCCUUAACGGUUGCCCUGACUGGGCAUAUGAGGGUGAGUACUGAGUAGCAUUGACACAUGUUAGAGGGAAUGGACAAGGUGGGUUUCAUCACACACAAGGCUUUUGAGUAACGUGAUAUCUUCCACUUUUUUUCAGAGGAGGUUUUCUCAUCCAUUGAGGCAAUAUGGUGGUCACC